ACAGCAGCAGAAAGGUCCAGGACGUGCUGCAGGAGUUCUAUGGAGAUGGCGCCUUGGUGCAGCACCUGCAGGGAGACUCGAUCGACUUUGAGGGCUUCAAGCUGUUUAUGAGGAGCUACCUGGAGGCCGAGGAGAUCUCGGACACGCUCUGCCAGCACCUCUUCCUGUCCUUCCAGACCUCACCUGGGGAGGGCCCCGGGCAGCAGCCGGGCCUCAGGGAGCAGCCAGCCAGCGGCCUGGUCUGUGUCAACGACGUCUCCUGCUACUUCUCACUGCUGGAGGGGGGCGCCCCGAGGACAAGCUGGAGU